ACAUACUUACAUGUGUAUGGCUUUCGGCACCAGGGGCCGGUGUGUUUACUUGUGUAUGGAUGGUGUUCAGCACCAGACAAAGGUGUGUUUACCU
rnacentral:pre_miRNA from 1 species